rnacentral:lncRNA from 1 species
CCCUUCCCUCUUCGCUAAUGUACCUCCUGGAUGCUGAUUCUUUUAAGCUACGAAGAAUUUCCUUUUGGGAGGUGAAACCCUCCAGCUCCUCCUGUUCAGAGGAAAGUGCUAGUGAUGGUAAUACGGGGUGACACUAAAUAAACAGUUAAAGCAGAGCUGGAAAGAUGGAGUUAAUUAUCCAGUGAGCUACAUUUAAACCGAGACCAGGAGGGGCUGAUUUGUUUUGGCGCAGGGAACUGAGAAGGAGACGAGCCACCGAGGUCUCCUUGCUCCUCUUUGGUGGCUCUUUAACUUGUCCUUGCUGUCGCCAGCCCGGGGACCGGCGUCUUUUGGCGAGGGUAGGGAACCCCCCGGCUGGGACCCCCGAACCGUGGCGCGCCCGGCCCCGUGGCCGCAGCUCUGGGAGUCUCUGUGCGAGCCGUGCAUGGGAACUGGCGAUUUCAGGGCGUCCAGAGGUGAUUUUUUUCCAUGUUUGUUUGCUUUUGUUUCCCAGAAGUUAGAUAAAUUCUCGUCCACGCGGCUCGCCGAUGCCUGCGCUCUCAGUUGGAUUCAUCUGGAAUGAUUCUGGAGGUGCUGACUGCAGGGAAGAAGUUACCAGGUUCCCACGUAUCACAACUGACAGUUCCUUCAGUUCUGGGAGAUUUCCAGCAAUUCCACUUAACUCCCAAAGCACAUCUGUGAAUGCACACGGGAUUGCACUUCUUGAGAACAAGAUGGACCAUUGGACACAAAUUAAAAUAUGAGAGAUGACUGCAAAGCACAAGUUUCCAUUUGUGGCCAGCUAUUUUGUGAAGACGUGACUGCAACCAGGUGUGAAGAUCUUGCAGGAGAUGAGGGGAAACCAAGCCAGUCCAAAGAGAUUUGUUAGAAUGUGAACGGGAGCACAGCAGUGUAAGUGCUAUUAAUAGGAUUUACACAGAUUAGUAAACUAAUCUGUGCAUUUCAGAUUGGAUUUCAUAUUAUGGAAAAGAAAAUUAAGCCACAUACCACACAGACUUUCCAGGCAGUGAUUUGUGAGUGUGAUCUAUUUGCUGGUAGAAGUGGCUGCUCAGAAAAGUUGUGACAGCUCUGUUGGGUGGGUCAGUGGCACCCACUGGCAGCCCAGGAGGGGGAACAGUGUUAUAGGAUGCAGAGCUGUGCUGGUGGAUUUGGGAGACAGACAAUGAAAUGAGCAGUUUGUUUAAGGGAUAGCUUUUAAAGUGCAUUGCAAGGAGGAAAAGCAGUGUCCAGCCUUGGCUGCAUCACCACUGGAGAAGAGCUGUCCUCCUGACUCAACUAAAAUGAGAAGCUGUGGCUGCUCAUCUGUGGAAAUGUUCAAGGCCAGGCUGGAUGGGGCUUGGAGCAACCUGGUCUGGUGGAAAGUGUCCCUGCCUAUGGGAUGAGAUGGGUUUUAAGCUCCCUUACAACACAAACACAGCUUAGAGAGAGAUAGAGCACCCAGGACAAUUAUGAGCAGUCAUCUAUGUAAACUGAAAAUUUCAUAGCAUCCAACAAUCCAUUAUAUGUAUUUUGUACAGGUAAUACCAAAUAAUAUAUUUAGAUUAUAUAAUAUAAAUACAAUAUAUGUUACAUACAAAAGCAUAGUAUAUAAUAUAUGUAAAUAUUAUACAUUUAAAUAUAUAUUUUAAUAAGUAAAUAAAUAUGUUUGAUCAAUAGGGUCUGGCUUCAGUAUUUGGACUGUGCCAUUCCAGAUGGGUGAACCUCAGCCUGGCUGUACCUCUGGCCACAGAGGAGGGAAUUGCUGUUACUGUUGUACUGAUGGGGAAAUGUAAAUCCAGAUAUUUAAGAACUGGACUUUUGGUUCCAAGUGGUUAAGAUCAGCUAAUCUUGGGAUAGUUACAGUUCAAGCUGUACCCCUCUGUGUAGGGCUUGAAAAAUAAAGUAUAACCCAUCUUUCUCUUUGUGCUUCCUGUUACUUUGCAAAAAUACAAGUAUUUGGAACUUUUAAACACUCAUUACAGUCAGGACUGAAGAAAGACCACCAUUAGCCUUUCAAAUCUCUGUUUUAGGCCAAAGCUUUAAGAGGCAGAACAAGCUGAGCAGCCCAGUGAUUUAUCUUCUUGCAACACCGUGCUAGGUUACCACAAAUAAAAAUCCCAAAUUUGAUUUGGUUUCUUUGGGAGAAC